ACGCCGCGUGAACGAUGAAGGCCUUCGGGUCGUAAAGUUCUGUUGUUAGAGAAGAACAAGUACGAGAGUAACUGCUCGUACCUUGACGGUACCUAACCAGAAAGCCACGGCUAACUACGUGCCAGCAGCCGCGGUAAUACGUAGGUGGCAAGCGUUGUCCGGAAUUAUUGGGCGUAAAGCGCGCGCAGGCGGUUCCUUAAGUCUGAUGUGAAAGCCCACGGCUCAACCGUGGAGGGUCAUUGGAAACUGGGGAACUUGAGUGCAGAAGAGGAGAGCGGAAUUCCACGUGUAGCGGUGAAAUGCGUAGAGAUGUGGAGGAACACCAGUGGCGAAGGCGGCUCUCUGGUCUGUAACUGACGCUGAGGCGCGAAAGCGUGGGGAGCAAACAGGAUUAGAUACCCUGGUAGUCCACGCCGUAAACGAUGAGUGCUAAGUGUUAGAGGGUUUCCGCCCUUUAGUGCUGCAGCUAACGCAUUAA
rnacentral:rRNA from 1 species